GAUAAACGCUGGCGGCGUGCAUAACACAUGCAAGUCGAACGAAGUGGCGAACGGGUGAGUAACACGUGAGUAACCUGCCUUACACAAGGGGAUAGCCUUUGGAAACGAAGAAUAAUACCCUAUAGUGUAAGAUGGACUUGCGUCUGAUUAGCUAGUUGGUGAGAUAAAGGCCCACCAAGGCAACGAUCAGUAGCCGGCUGGGGAGAGUGUACGGCCACAUUGGGACUGAGACACGGUCCAAACUCUACGGGAGGCAGCAGUGGGGAAUUUUGCACAAUGGGGGAAACCCUGAGGCAGCGACGCCGCGUGAUUUAGAAGGCCUUCGGGUUGUAAAAAUCUUUCGCUAUCGAACGGGUAGGUGGAGAAGAAGCGCCGGCUAACUACGUGCCAGCAGCCGCGGUAAUAC
rnacentral:rRNA from 1 species